GCGGGCAUAGCUCAGUUGGUUAGAGUGUCGGAUUGUGGUUCCGAAGGUCGUGGGUUCAAAUCCCACUGUCCGCC
rnacentral:tRNA from 1 species